rnacentral:lncRNA from 1 species
CACUGCUUGUCCCAGGCAGCAGCAGUGAUAUACGUCUUAUUCCUUUGAGCUCACAAAAGGGAUUUCUUUCGACAAGCUGGACAUUGGAAGAAGGCUGCGAGAAGGGAAUUGAACAUGAGAAACACUCUUGUGGGAGUGGAUUCUUACAGGAACACCCCAGUCACUGUGGCUUCAGCGUGGCUGCAUUUAUGAAAGGCUGGAAGUAGAAAACUCUGGAAUGGAGAGACUAGCAGCUGGAACAGGAUUCAAAGGCUUUAAAUUUUAACCCGAGUUCGAUCGAAAGUUACUACCACAAGAGACUGGCACGGGCCGGCCCAAUUCCCACCACGGCUUCCAGCGGCUUGCUUUGGGUUGUCCGCUAGGCGUCGAAGACUAGAGAACACACUGACCCUGGCGCCUCUGGGACAGAGGUGAGGAGUUCGACCCAAACGAACAGAUUCGACAACAUUCGGACUC